GGCGUAGGCGGUAAAAGAAGUCAUCUGUGAAAACCUAUUGCUCAACGAUAGGCUAGCGGAUGAAACUGAAUUACUUGAGGGCACCAGAGGUAGACGGAAUUACCCGAGUAGGGGUGAAAUCCGCAGAUACGGGUAGGAACGCCGGUGGAGAAGUCGGUCUACUGGGGUGCACCAGACGCUGAGGCCCGAAAGCUAGGGGAGCAAACCG
rnacentral:rRNA from 1 species